UACGUAGGGGGCAAGCGUUGUCCGGAAUCAUUGGGCGUAAAGCGCGUGUAGGCGGCCCGAUAAGUCCGCUGUGAAAGUCCAGGGCUCAACCCUGGAAUGCCGGUGGAUACUGUCGGGCUCGAGUCCGGAAGAGGAGAGUGGAAUUCCUGGUGUAGCGGUGAAAUGCGCAGAUAUCAGGAAGAACACCGAUGGCGAAGGCAGUUCUCUGGGCCGUAACUGACGCUGAGACGCGAAAGCGUGGGGAGCAAACAGG
rnacentral:rRNA from 1 species